GUCGUCGUGGCCGAGUGGUUAAGGCGACAGACUUGAAAUCUGUUGGGCUCUGCCCGCCCAGGUUCGAAUCCUGUCGGCGACG
rfam:Ciona savignyi cont_31241, whole genome shotgun sequence.